rnacentral:rRNA from 1 species
CCCACCACAGAAGGUAAUAGUCCUGUAUGUUAAACGAGAAGACUUUAGAUAUGAUCCAGAGUACCACGGGACACGUGAAACCCUGUGGGAAGCAGGAGGGACCACCCUCCAAGGCUAAAUACUACCUAGUGACCGAUAGCGUAUAGUACCGUGAGGGAAAGGUGAAAAGAACCCCGGGAGGGGAGUGAAAUAGAACCUGAAACCCUGCACUUACAACCUGUGGAAGCACAUUUCUUGUGUGACCGCGUACUUUUUGUAGAACGGGCCAACGAGUUACGUUAAGUAGCAAGGUUAAGCACUUAAGGUGCGGAGCCGUAGCGAAAGCGAGUUUUAACUGAGCGUUCAGUUACUUGACGUAGACCCGAAACCGGGCGACCUACCCAUGAGCAGGAUGAAGCGAAAGUAAAAUUUCGUGGAGGUCCGAACCCACGAGCGUUGAAAAGCUCGGGGAUGACUUGUGGGUAGCGGUGAAAUUCCAAUCGAGCCCGGAGAUAGCUGGUUCUCCCCGAAAUAGCUUUAGGGCUAGCCUCAAGGUGAGAGAUACGGAGGUAGAGCACUGAAUGUCCUAGGGGGUAUUGCACCUACCGAAGACUAUCAAACUCCGAAUGCCGUCAUCUUAUACUUGGGAGUCAGACUGUGGGUGAUAAGAUUCAUAGUCGAAAGGGCAACAGCCCAGAUCGUCAGCUAAGGUCCCUAAAUGUAAGUUAAGUGGUAAAGGAUGUGGGAUUGCACAGACAACCAGGAUGUUGGCUUAGAAGCAGCCACUCAUUCAAAGAGUGCGUAAUAGCUCACUGGUCGAGUGAUCCUGCGCCGAAGAUUUCCGGGGCUAAGACUUACUACCGAAGCUACGGCAUCAGUAAUGAUGGGUAGGGGAGCUUCCCAUACGGGUUGAAGCAUGACCGUAAGGACAUGUGGACAGUAUGGGAGUGAGAAUGUUGGCAUGAGUAGCGAGAUGUGGGUGAGAAUCCCACAGGCCGUAAACCCAAGGUUUCCAGGGGAAGGUUCGUCCGCCCUGGGUUAGUCGGGACCUAAGCUGAGGCCGAAAGGCGUAGGUGAUGGACAACAGGUUGAUAUUCCUGUACUACCGAUAACCGUUUGAGAGAAGGGAUGACACAG